ensembl:miRNA
GAGUCACUGGAAGCAGUUCAGGGCUGCAGCAUGCAGAAGCUGUGUGCUGUGACAGCAUCUGGAUGCUGCAGGCAUCCCACUACCUCCUUGGCACAGCUGCUGCCCUGAGG